rnacentral:sRNA from 1 species
UAAACUCCACAAACUGCACCACAAGAAACUGCUCACACAAGUGUGUCAACUAUACGCCAGUAAACAAGACCUCCCCAGUAGAUCAGUGUUAUUGUCCGAUAGGCAAGGAACUGGCUGGUGACCAAUGUAUCGAUUGCACCAACUGGAAAUAUGGACCUGACUGUGAACGUAGCACCAGCUGUGUUAGAGAUCACACAGAGAAAUACAACUCCUACAAUGGUCAAUGCUAUUGUUAUCGUAACUGGACAAAUACCUAUUGUCAAUACGACUAUAAUGAAUGUUACUAUGGUACAUACACCUGCCAGCCUCACGCAUUAUGUUCCAAUACAUACGGCGGCUACGAGUGUCACUGUGAUAAACGAUACGGAUACA